AUUGAACGCUGGCGGCAGGCCUAACACAUGCAAGUCGAGCGAGCGGCGGACGGGUGAGUAAUGUCUGGGAAACUGCCUGAUGGAGGGGGAUAACGUCCGGACACGGGCGCUUAUUCCGCAUACUAUCAGAUGAGCCUCGGUCGGAUUAGCUCGUUGGGGGGGUAAAGGUCUACCAAGGCGACGAUCCGGAACUGGUCUGAGAGGAUGAUCAGUCACACUGGAACUGAGACACGGGCCAGACUCCUACGGGAGGCAGCAGUGGGGAAUAUUGCACAAUGGGCGCAAGCCUGAUGCAGCCAUGCCGCGUGUAUGAAGAAGGCCUUCGGGUUGUAAAGUACUUUCAGCGGGGAGGCGUUACCCGCAGAAGAAGCACCGGCUAACUCCGUGCCAGCAGCCGCGGUAAUUC
rnacentral:rRNA from 1 species